AUUCCGAACCUUGGGGGCGAGUCGGGAGGAAACCAAGCCCCACCCAAGACCCCGCCCAACAGUCGGGGCCUCGCUCCUGAAAGUCCAGCCAGGAGGACCCUUGUGGGCGCGCAGUAUUAAAAGCUCUCCGCCUGGGUACCGCCCCACUCGCCUUCCUUUCUCCAGGAGUCCUAUCCGUUUCCCUCCCAUUACCGGAAGCGCUUCCCCAAAGCCCCGCCCCACCCCAGCCCGGGCUCUACGGCCUAGUGUGGCCAGAGCGCGCGUCCCGGUCGUCGCCGGAAGCGCUUCUCCCAGGCCCCGCCCCAACCCCACCCUCAGUAGGAGAGCGUCCAGGCCAGCCCAUUCUUCACAACCCGCCGGGCUAUUGCCGGGAGGGACACGCCCCAGCCCGGGUCCGCCAAGUUCUCGCACUCUCCCGAAACCUCUUACCCCGACCCUUUGCCGGAAGCGCUCCCCCCAAGGCCACGCCUCAGUGCCGCCCUUCUACCGGCGCGCACGCGCAGUUUUUACAGCCUCCCCUCCCCCAAGCGGCUAGAGCCGUUAGAAGAUCGCCAAGGUUUCGACUGUUUUCGGUGUUUUCUGUUCUCCACGUGAGCGUCUCUGUCCUCAGGCCUGCACCCCUUGUUCUGGGUUCUCCACGCACGUUAGCGUCCCCUCACCUGCGCCUCCCACCGCGGUGAAGCGAUACUGCAUUUCUGCCAGGAGUUCACAGAAUCACAAACCCAAAGUCUCCGAAAGUGGUGAAAGAAGAAAAUUGCCAACCAAGAAUACUCUACCUGGCAUAGUUGUCCUUCAGAAGGAAGUUUCCCAGGCAAGUGAAGUCUGAAGGAGUUCAUUAAGACUGGCCUUGUGAGAAAUCUUAAAGGGACUUCAAGCUUUUCUGCUACUAACUAGUAAAGUCUGUUCUCUGUAGAUGUGCCAUCACAUCCAACAUUAUUUUUAAGAUUGCUGAUAAUGAAGAAGAGACAGAAAUUCUACUCCCAGGGAGGCAAAACCAGCAUCCACAUCCUCCUGGAAAAAAAUGAACAUGUAGUAUCCAAUUCCUAGAGCUUUAGACAGAUUAACUCACAUUAUAUAUGUAUGAUUCCCCAUACUGUGUCCAGGACCUAGUACAUACUCAUAUAUACCUAGAGCAUGUAGUAGAUACUCAAUAAGCAUUCCUUUAUGAAUGAGUACAUACUAUUUACCCCUUGCUCUCACCACUGCCUUACCUAGUCCUUUCUGAACUUGCAGGGGAUGGACAGAAUGUGGUCUUUCUGGAAGCUGUUAAUAGUCUUCAUUGGCAACAGAAGACGUACUUGUGUUGAGAUAGAAUGGUUUGGUUUUCAGGUGUGCUCUUCUGUACUCUCUAGCUCAGGGCAACUGGAAUUGAAGUCUGGGGACAGCAACCUCAAUGGUUGUUAAAAGUACAUAUUAAUGGGCUUCAUGCAUUCAUUCACUCAGAUACCUGACUGUGGGUGCUUAGAGUCUGUUUUUAAUGGAAACCUUAAAAUGGUUUGUAUAUACGUGAAAUUUUGACAAGCAAUGUUUAGAAAAGUUAGUCUUGGGUUUGGCUUCACAUUGGGAUCCCCUGUGUAGUUUUUAGAAGUACCAGUUCCAGUGUCCCAACUCCAAAGAUUCUUGUACUUGGUCAUUGAUAGGCCUAGUAUUAAUUAGGUCUUAAUGAAGAAGCCCAACUCAUUCCACUGUGACACCAGUGUAGACACUGAAGCUUUCAAGUACAUAUCUUAUCCUUCUUUUUUUCUUUUUGUUUUUUAAGAUUUAUUCAUUUAUGUUAGGGUGGGAGGGCAGAGAGAGUUGUAAGCAGACUCUAUAAUGAGUGUGGAGUCCAACGGGGAGAUUGAUCCCAGACCCUAAGAUCAAAACCUGAGCUGAAACCAAGGGUUGGAUGCCCAACUGUUUGCACCAUCCAGGCAUCCCCUCAAGUACAUUUCUGAGGAUGGAGCAUAGGGUCUAGUCACUGGGAAGGACUGCUCUGCAUAAUAUUGAUAGGGGAGAGUCCGUGUACACCACAUUCCUGAUUUUAUACCAGACUGUAUGUGUCUCCAGGAGAAGUACACCUCCAAAUAAGACAUAAGUUAAUUACAUCGGGGUCUCCACUUAGAAACUCCCAAUGUGUAUAGAUUUUUCACAUGUUUCCACAAGCAAUGGAAUAGCAAUCAGAUGGCAUACACCCUCACUGGCCAAGGGGAGGCUUUUGGAUUUCACUGUGAAUGCCAUAGAAGAAACUGAAACAAUGCACCUGGGUGGAUCGGAGGUUGAGUGUCUGCCUUUGGCUCAGGUUGUGAUCCCGGGGUCCUGGAGCCCUCCUCCUCCCCCCACAGGGAGCCUCCUUCUCCCUCUCCCAAUGUCUCUGUCUUUCUCUCAUGAAUAAAUAAAUCUUAAAAAAAAAAAAAAAAAAACUGGAACAGAAGGUAAGUCCUUAUAGGAUGGAGGAGCAUGUGAAGAGUGAGACAGGAGAGGUACCUAGGCUUCCAGAAUCAUUCCAUUCGAGAAGAGCUUCCCAAACCACAAAUUAAGGUCAUGUUUUCUCCAUUGACCAUUGGCCCUCACUUGUGUCAUCUGCUUCAUGGACUGCCACUUACCUGGGUGUGUGACUAUUGUCUCCUUUCUCUUCAUGUGCCAGGGCUCUUUAGUUUUCCAAAGAACUACCAGAUGCAGUCUACAUACAGUCUAGAGACAGCAAAGCCCUGUUUAUAAGAAAAAGAAACGACUCAAUGGAGAAUGUAAAAUUUCAAAUCCAGCACCAUACUUGGUAGAGAAGAGAGCACAUUACAGAAGGAUAUAGGGAUCCCUGGGUGGCGCAGCGGUUUGGUGCCUGCCUUUGGCCCAGGGCAUGAUCCUGGAGACCCGGGAUCGAAUCCCACAUCGGGCUCCCGGUGCAUGGAGCCUGCUUCUCCCUCUGCCUGUGUCUCUGCCUCUCUCUCUCUCUCUCUCUCUGUAUCUGUCAUAAAUAGAUAAAAUAUAUAAAAAAAAAGAAGGAUAUAAAAAAUUAUUCCUUCAAACACUAUUUUCUGAUGGCCUCUUGAGAAUACUUAGGAAGCAUUUUCAAUGUUCAGCUCCCUAAUUCCACUUCCAAGUACUACUGAAUCAAAAAUAAGGAAUAGAUAUCUGAUUUUAAGAUGUAACAAUAUUCUAUGCCAUUCAGUUUCUAGAAUUACCACAAAUGUAGAGUGAAAGUUGCAGAGAACAUCAGGGAAGGGGAAGGUUAAAGCCAAGAUAAAAUAUCAUAAAUCCUUCCUUGCACCAACAAACACCUGAUGAUUUCCUGAAUGAUGUCAUUUGUGCUGAGUUACACUAUAGACUUUUAAGACAGGUCAACAUGUGUAAUUAUGUCCUUGUUUCCUUUUGCUAAAAAUAAAGAGCAUAUCUGUGACAUUGUGCAGAAUAAAAUGGAAACUUACAGGUCUAGGGCUAAUUUAUAAUCUUUAUUUGCAAAAGCCAGGUUCUCCAGUAAACAAAGGUCAUACCCUUCAUUUUCUGGGGGAAUCUGGCAGAGAGACUCUGAACAAAGUGAAAAAAGUUAAUAUCAGCUCUAAUGAGAAAAUUUGCAAUUAUUGGCCUGAAGCACAUCGGACUCAUCAUUGUUGGCUAUUACUUUUUUAAUUUUUAUUUAUUUUUUUAAAAGAUUUUAUUUACUUAUUCAUAGAGACAGAGAGAGAGAGGCAGAGACACAGGCAGAGGGAGAAGCAGGCUCCAUGCAGAGAGCCUGACGUGGGACUCGAUCCAUUGUCUCCAGGAUCACGCCCUGGGCUGCAGGCGGCGCUAAACCGCUGCACCACCGGGGCCACCCCUAUUACUUUUUGUAAAAAGCAAAUCAUACGAUUGCAAUUGUGAGAUUAUAGAAGUUAUGAAAUUUCACAGAUUGCUCCCAUGUCCUGUAAUUUUUAAUGUAUUCCAAGUAGUUAGUCUUUCUCUGAAGCAGUCUAGUCAGCAAGGCUCUUUUUCAGAACAUUGACUUAUUCUGGGCCUUAAGCCAUCUAGUUUGUUCAUGUUCAUCUAGUUUCUAUAGACUCAAGCCACAUCCAGAAAGAACCUAAAUAUUAUAUAUUCUCCUUCUUCACUUGGGUCCUGAAACCCAACCCAUCUCCAGUGAGAAUCAUGUGUAUCAACACAUCCCCAGGUUGAUCUAUUACAGAGGGACUGUUUUCAAAAGUUGCAGGUUAUGAAUUCAUGGUAGGAAUUCUUCAUGCUGCGUAGAAAGCCUAGUUGGAGAGAAUAAACAGCCCCAGGGAUAGAAAGAGGAGUAUCUUAAAGGGCUGACAUUGGCUGUCAUUAAAAUGAUAAACAGUAGUCCAAAACAUUUGCUAGGCAGGACCACCAGAGGUAGAGAAGUAAAUGCAUGCAAAUUCUAAAUACAUGGCAUUUGGAUAAGAAAUGAGGACACAGCCCUGAGCCAAGUCAAGAUUUAUCUGAGAAGCAGCCAUUUCGUCCUCUCUUUCUGCUUUGAUUGUUUUCUUGGGUGAUAUUAUGUAGAGAAAUCACACCUGUAAGCCCUUAGUGGCCUCAGUAUGGCCUCUUCACCUGCGAUCAUCAGCAUAGUGGCAGAAGGAUCUUGAAAUAUAUAAAAGACCACAUUCUCUCUUAAUUUUUCAUAGAGAAGAUCCAGAAAAAAUAGAGCUCCUACAUGGACACUUGCAUGUGAGGUUUCUUCUUGGUUUCAAAUGUCCUCCCCUCCCACGGACCGCCACAAAUCCUGCCACAGGAUGAGGAACUUUGGCUGCACUGACCUGCCCCAGACCGAACAGUCUUGAUAGCUUCUCUUCAACUGAAACCUGGGCUCAGCCUUCACAAAUAAAUCUUUUAAUCCUUGUGCUUCACUCCGGCCUACCUGAGAAUCCCCUAGAGCACAUAUUUAAAGCAGCACUGAUGCUAUUACCCUGACCCAUAGACAGACUCUACAGAGGGCCCGGUGAUGGUGGUUCUUAAAACUCACCCUGAGAUCCUUACUGUAACCCCAGGCUGAGAAGCAAUGAUGUGCUUUCAAAUUUUAAUGUGCAUAGAAAUCAUCUUUGUGUUCCAGGUCCCAUUGAAGAAAUGGUGAUUCUGCAGGCUUGAAAUGGAGCCUGAGAACUAGCAUCUUUCACGAGUUCUUUGUUAGUGCUGAUGCUGCUCCUGGAGACCCACAUUUAGUGGCACUAACUAGAGAAUACAGGCACAACACACCUGAGCCCCCCCACACCCACCAUCUUAUGUCAGCCCUGGUUAGUGCCCAGAAAAGAGUUUACUUUUCUUUGUUGUAGUUUACUGUGGGUUCCUAGCAAAGAUCAUUAUCACCAUCCUGAAGGGCCACAUGCUUUCACAGCAUUUUAAAGUUUGCAGAAAGAAGGCUGGUGAAUGCACUAAUGUCUAAGCAAGUCUCUAUUUGGAAACAAUGUGUAUACACUGAUUACUGCAACAUUUCUUGAACACUAAUUUUGUGUUUCCAGGGAAGUUAUGGUGCACCCUGUUGGCAACUUCACAUAUAUAAUGCGAUUUCAUCCCUGUAAUACCUUGUGAGUUGGGCACUGUGUCCUAUAAUAACCCAAGAUAUUGGUACUGGGCCCCACCUAUGUGCUUCAUCUUGUUUUCCUGUUUUUAAAAAAAACUGUGUAAGAGUUAAAUAUCCAUGAACAGAAAAAUACAGAAAGGAAAAAUAGAUAGUAGUUCUGAGAGUUUUCAUUGUUGUGUUUAUAUUUUUUUAACUAGAUAAAUAUCUGAGUUUAUAAGUAAAAGCCAGUUUUCCUGUACUUUGUACAUGCUCAUUAGCAAUAUAUGAUCAUUUUAAUUCCUCCAUAUUGGUGUUACUAAUUUUUUUCCCUUAAAUUCAGUCAUUCUAUUUUUUUUUUUUUUUAAUUCAGUCAUUCUAGCAAAUAGGAAGUAUCAUCUCCCUGUAGUUCCCUGCUUUUUAGGAGUGGUUAAGGAAAAUAUGAUAUUUAUUUAUUUACUUUAUGAUAUAAAUUAUAUAUCAUAGAAUAUAUUAUGUAUCAUAAAUAUAUAAUAUAUAUAAUAUAGUAUUUAUCUAUAUAAAAUUUAGCCUUUAGUCCAUUUGGGACACAUAUGUGACCCUGAAGGAUGUUAUGCUAAGUGGAAUAAGACACACAAAAUGGCAAAUAUUGCAUUAUCUCAGUUAUGUCUGGAAUCUAGUGAAGUUGAACUCCUACAAGCAAAGUAGAAUUGUGAUUGCCAGGAGGUUGAGAAUGAAAUAGGAGAUGUUGGUCAAGUUGUCCAAAAUUUCUUUCCUGCAGAAUGAAUAAAUUCUGGAGAUCCAAAGUACAGCAUGGUGACUACAGAUAAUUAUGUAUUAUUAUACUUAAUAUUUGCUGAAAAAGUGGAAGAUUUAAUGAUAAAAACAAAAAUGAAGAUGCUGGGCAGCCCCCGUGGCACAGUGGUUUAGCGCUGCCUGCAGC